rnacentral:rRNA from 1 species
UUUUUCUCAAUGGGCGCAAGCCUGAAGGAGCGACGCCGCGUGGGGGAUGAAGGGUUUCGAUCCGUAAACCCCUGUCAUUUGUGAACAAUGGUUAUUAUUUAAAAGAUGAUGACUUGAUAGUAAUGAAAGAGGAAGGGACGGCUAACUCUGUGCCAGCAGCCGCGGUAAUACAGAGGUCCCGAGCGUUGUUCGGAUUCACUGGGCGUAAAGGGUGCGUAGGUGGCCAUGAAAGUUUGAUGUGAAAUCUCCGGGCUCAACCCGGAAAAUGCAUUGGAUACUAUGUGGCUUGAGGUUUGGAGGGGGGACUGGAAUUCUCGGUGUAGCAGUGAAAUGCGUAGAUAUCGAGAGGAACACCAGUGGCGAAGGCGGGUCCCUGGACAACACCUGACACUGAGGCACGAAAGCUAGGGGAGCAAACAGG